rnacentral:rRNA from 1 species
GACGAACGCUGGCGGCGUGCUUAACACAUGCAAGUCGAACGGAAAGGCCCUGCUUUUGUGGGGUGCUCGAGUGGCGAACGGGUGAGUAACACGUGAGUAACCUGCCCUUGACUUUGGGAUAACUUCAGGAAACUGGGGCUAAUACCGGAUAGGAGCUCCUGCUGCAUGGUGGGGGUGGGAAAGUUUCGGCGGUUGGGGAUGGACUCGCGGCUUAUAAGCUUGUUGGUGGGGUAGUGGUUUACCAAGGCUUUGACGGGUAGCCGGCCUGAGAGGGUGACCGGCCACAUUGGGACUGAGAUACGGCCCAGACUCAUACGGGAGGCAGCAGUGGGGAAUAUUGCACAAUGGGCGGAAGCCUGAUGCAGCAACGCCGCGUGCGGGAUAACGGCCUUCGGGUUGUAAACCGCUUUCGCCUGUGACGAAGCGUGAGUGACGGUAAUGGGUAAAGAAGCACCGGCUAACUACGUG